GAUGAACGCUGGCGGCGUGCCUAAUACAUGCAAGUCGAGCGAAUGGAUUAAGAGCUUGCUCUUAUGAAGUUAGCGGCGGACGGGUGAGUAACACGUGGGUAACCUGCCCAUAAGACUGGGAUAACUACGGGAAACGGGGGCUAAUACCGGAUGAUAUUUUGAACUGCAUGGGUCAAAAUUGAAAGGCGGCUUCGGCUGUCACUUAUGGAUGGACACGCGUCGCAUUAGCUAGUUGGUGAGGUAACGGCUCACCAAGGCAACGAUGCGUAGCCGACCGGAGAGGGUGAUCGACCACACUGGGACUGAGACACAGCCCAGACUCCUACGGGAGGCAGCAGUAGGGAAUCUUCCGCAAGGGACGAAAGUCUGACGGAGCAACGCCGCGUGAGUGAUGAGGGCUUUCGGGUCGUAAAACUCUGUUGUUAGGGAAGAACAAGUGCUAGUUGAAUAAGCUGGCAACUUGACGGUACCUACCAGAAAGCCACGGCUAACUACGUGCCAGCAGCCGCAGUAA
rnacentral:rRNA from 1 species